rnacentral:rRNA from 1 species
UACGAAGGGGGCUAGCGUUGCUCGGAAUCACUGGGCGUAAAGGGUGCGUAGGCGGGUCUUUAAGUCAGGGGUGAAAUCCUGGAGCCUCACUCCAGAACUGCCUUUGAUACUGAGGAUCUUGAGUUCGGGAGAGGUGAGUGGAACUGCGAGUGUAGAGGUGAAAUUCGUAGAUAUUCGCAAGAACACCAGUGGCGAAGGCGGCUCACUGGCCCGAUACUGACGCUGAGGCACGAAAGCGUGGGGAGCAAACAGG